AUUGAACGCUGGCGGCAGGCCUAACACAUGCAAGUCGAGCGGCAGCGGGAAAGUAGCUUGCUACUUUUGCCGGCGAGCGGCGGACGGGUGAGUAAUGCCUGGGGAUCUGCCCAGUCGAGGGGGAUAACAGUUGGAAACGACUGCUAAUACCGCAUACGCCCUACGGGGGAAAGGAGGGGACCUUCGGGCCUUUCGCGAUUGGAUGAACCCAGGUGGGAUUAGCUAGUUGGUGGGGUAAUGGCUCACCAAGGCGACGAUCCCUAGCUGGUCUGAGAGGAUGAUCAGCCACACUGGAACUGAGACACGGUCCAGACUCCUACGGGAGGCAGCAGUGGGGAAUAUUGCACAAUGGGGGAAACCCUGAUGCAGCCAUGCCGCGUGUGUGAAGAAGGCCUUCGGGUUGUAAAGCACUUUCAGCGAGGAGGAAAGGUUGUUGGCUAAUACCCAGCAACUGUGACGUUACUCGCAGAAGAAGCACCGGCUAACUCCGUGCCAGCAGCCGCGGUAA
rnacentral:rRNA from 1 species